rnacentral:tRNA from 1 species
GCGGGUGUAGCUCAGGGGUAGAGCUCUAGCUUCCCAAGCUAGGAGUCGAGGGUUCGAAGCCCUUCACCCGCUCCA